rfam:Schistosoma curassoni strain Dakar, Senegal genome assembly, scaffold: SCTD_scaffold0001191
AUUCAGCUGACGAGUCUCAAGUAGGACAAAACACGUGUCCUACAU